GAAUAGAAAUUAUUAUUAAAUUUAUUUAUUUAUUUAUUAUUAAAAAAAAUAGUUAUUAUUUUAUUAUUUAUAAAGAAAAAAUAUAGUUAAUUAUAGGUUAUUAGUAUUGUGAAAGAAUAAAUUUAUAUAUUUAAAAGAAAAAUUAAAUUUUUGUACCUUGUGUAUCAGGGUUAAUUAAAUAAAAAUUUUUUAUAGAAUUUUCUCGAAUUUAAAAGAGUUAAUUAUUUAUAUAUUUAAUUGUGAAAUAAAUUUUUAUAAUAAAUAAUUAGUAAUGAAACGUUAUUCGUUUUUAAAUAUAUCUAGUUUUUAAAGAAAAAAAUUUAAUUUUAUUAUUAAUAGUUAAAAUUUUAUAUUUUUAAUAUUUUAUUAUUAAUAUUUUAUCUUAAUAGGGAUAAGCUUAUUAAGAAAAUAAUUAUAAUUAAAUUAUACAUAUAAAUAAUUUAUAGAAUUAAAAUUUUUUAUUGAUAAGAAAAUGUUAUAAUUAAUUAUUUAAAGUUUAUAUUUAUAUUUAAUUUAAAUUUUAUAUUUAAAUUUAUAUUUUAAUUUAAAAAAUUUAGUAAUUAUGAUUAAAUUAGUAUAAUAUAUUGUAAUAUUAAGGUUUUUAUUUAGGUUAAUUUAAGGAAUUCGGCAAAAUUAUUUUUCACCUGUUUAUUAAAAACAUGUCUUUUUGAUUAUAAUUUAAAGUCUAAUCUGCCCACUGAGUUAUUGAAUGGCCGCGGUAUUUUGACCGUGCAAAGGUAGCAUAAUAAUUAGUUUUUUAAUUGGAAGCUGGUAUGAAUGAUUGAAUGAGAAAAUAACUGUCUCAAAUUAAUUUAUAUAGAAUUUUAUUUUUAAGUAAAAAAGCUUAAAUAAAGUUAGAAGACGAGAAGACCCUAUAGAGUUUAAUAAAUUUUAUUAAUUUAGGUUAUUAGUUUAAAAUACUUAAAUUUUUUAAGUUUAUUUUAUUGGGGUGAUAAAAAAAUUAAUAUAACUUUUUUUGUAUUAA
rnacentral:rRNA from 1 species